CCUACGGGAGGCAGCAGUGGGGAAUAUUGCACAAUGGGGGAAACCCUGCUGCAGCGACGCCGCGUGAGUGAAGAAGUAUUUCGGUAUGUAAAGCUCUAUCAGCAGGGAAGAUAAUGACGGUACCUGACUAAGAAGCCCCGGCUCACUACGUGCCAGCAGCCGCGGUAAUACGUAGGGGGAAAGCGUUAUCCGGAUUUACUGGGUGUAACGGGUGCGUAGGUGGGAGGGCAAGUCAGAUGUGAAAGCCCGGGGCUCAACCCCGGUACUGCAUUUGAAACUGUCCAGCUGGAGGGCAGGAGAGGUAAGCGGAAUUCCUAGUGUAGCGGUGAAAUGCGUAGAUAUUAGGAGGAACACCAGUGGCGAAGGCGGCUUACUGGACUGUAACUGACACUGAGGCACGAAAGCGUGGGGAGCAAACAGGAUUAGAUACCCUAGUAGUC
rnacentral:rRNA from 1 species